rnacentral:lncRNA from 1 species
UUCACAGGAACCCAUGUCUGUCCCCAGGAUCAACUCUCGUCUGCUGCAUGAAUCUGAGAUGAUCGGGCUUGGGAAGCUGUUGGGUCCAGAGGACAUAGCCUAUGAUACCAACUCACACCUAAUCUACACAGGCUGUGCUGAUGGCUGGAUUAAGAAAGUCACCUUGAACGACUCGGCUGUCAACUCGGUCGUUCAUGACUGGGCCUUCACCGGUGGAAGACCUCUCGGCGUCGUUCUCGGUCGCGCCGGUGAGGUUCUCGUUGCCGACGCCGACAAGGUAGGAAAUUGGUUUUCUCUGUCACACUUUUCUUUUCCUCUAAGAUUCGAUCUUUUAGGAAUAAUAUUAAGUUAUAUCCCAAAUGGCAACCAGCGGUCGGAUCGCCCGCAUCCCAACCUGCCCGUUUACGUUUAAAAAAUUAAAUGGGCGCGGUAUGGGAAAUUCCCAUACCCUGGCCCGUUUAACUUUUUUUUUUUAAAUUACAUUAAAAUAAAUAUAUUUUAUAAAUAAUAAAAUUAUUAUAUUUUUUAUAACUUAUUUUAUUAAAUUUUUUUAUUAUUAUCUAUAUAUUAAAAAUAGUAAAAUAAAAUUUUAAAUUAAAUUAAUUUUAAAUUUUAAAUUAAAUUUAAUUUUAAAAUUAAUUUUAUAUAUAAUCGGGGCGUGGGUUUAAAAAAAAAUCUUAUACUCAUUCCAAACCCGUUUAUUAAACUUAAACCCCAUCCCAUUAGGGGCGGGGUGAGGCGGGUACCCGAAAAAAUCGAUCGCAUUGCCAUCCUUAUAUCCCACACGCAUCGGGUCAAAACUUUUCUUAAAAAAAAAAAAUUCUAUUUUUUUCUUCAUAAAAUCACUCAAUUAUUUAUUUCUUUCUUUUAUUAUUAUCAACUCCACUAAUGGAAAAUAAAAUAAAAAUAGAAAAUAAAUUAUUUUUUAUCAAAUUUAUUAUUGACGAGAACAAAAAUUAUCAUCAUCAUCUUCACAGACAUGUCUAUUUCACCAAGCCUCUCUCUGAGGCAGUGCCCAGAUCGUUACGCCUUUCGUGCGGGUCAGAACUUACCCAACAAGUAAUUUCGCUACCUUAGGACCGUUAUAGUUACGACCGCCGUUCAUCAGGGCUUUGGUCGCCGACUCCCUUGUCACUAGAUUAGCAACUUUCUUGACCUUUCGGCACUUUAGGUAGGCGACAGCACUCAUAUAUGGUCUUACGACUUUGUGGAGACCUAUGUUUUUUAUAAACAAUCGUCCGGGCUUAGUCACUGCGACCCCCUUUGAGAGAAGGCACCCCUUCUCCCAAAGUUACAAGGCUAUUUUGUCAAGUUCCUUAGAAAGAGUUAUCUCAUGCCCCUAGAUAUUCUCUACCUACCCACCUGAGUCGGUUUCGGGCAUAGGUACCUUUUUGUUGAAGAUUAUUCGAGCUUUUCUUGGGAGUAUGACAUGGGUUACUUCAGCACCUGGUACUCGAACAUUGACUCGAGGCAUUUUCCCUACCCCUUCUUACCCUUGAAAAAGAAGGGUUACCUUGUGUCCUUGAACCUAUAACCAUCUCUUGGCUAACCUAGCCUCCUCCGUCCCUCGAGACGGACAAGGGUAGGAGCAUUAAGAAAUUAACUUAAAAUUCAUAUAUUAAAAAAUAUUUUAGUACACGUCCCAUUUGAUGAUGCAAUCUCAACCUUACAAUAAAUGAUAUUUGCUUGAAAUUUAUUUUUAAAAUGAUCAUAUGUGGCAGGGUCUACUGGAGAUAAGUGAAGAUGGUGUGGUUAAACUGUUGACAAAUGAGGCUGAGGGCAUAAGAUUCAAACUAACGGACGCUGUGGAUGUAGCUGUUGAUGGUAUGAUUUAUUUUACAGAUGCUUCCUAUAAAUACAGUUUCAAAGAUUUCAUAUGGGACAUGUUGGAGCUUAGGCCCCAUGGUAGACUACUGAGCUUUGACCCAUCAACGCAAGAGACAAAAGUGCUGGUUCGUGAUCUCUACUUUGCCAAUGGUGUUGUCGUCUCACCUGAUCAGACGUUCCUGAUCUUUUGCGAAUCCUUCAUGUAUGUUUCUCACCCACGUGCUUAAAUUUCGAAAAAUAUCGUGACAUGGAAAUUCAUAAAAAUAAUGUUUGGCUCCCAAAAAGUAUAGGAAAGAAAAAAAAAAUGUUAAGAAAAUCCUAUAAAAUAUUCCAAAGAAAAUUAAAUAUAAUUAAAAUUAAUUAGAAUUUUAUGUAUUUUAAAAUUAUUUAAUCUUUAUAUUGAUGAGUUAAAAUAAAGAAAAUGAGUUUGAAGUCGCAAAUAAAAAUAAUUAAUCAUUUUUAAUUUUAUAUUUUAUUUUCUUUUACUUUUUCUCUCUAUUUUCUUUUAUUUGCAUUUUCCAUCAAAUUUUCCGAUAACCAAACAUAACUAGAUCCAUAAAGAAAAUAAUAAAAAUAUAAUUUAAGAAUUUGAAAACAUAUUUAAUAUAAAAUUAUAAUUUAUCUAAUUUAAAUAUAUUAUUUUUUAAUGAUACAAUUGUAGGAAAAGGUGUUCGAAAUACUAUUUACAAGGUGAGCGAAAGGGAUCUAUGGACAAAUUCAUUGAUAAUUUGCCUGGUAUGCCCGACAACAUCUUAUAUGAUGGGGAAGGCCAUUAUUGGAUUGGAUUAGCCACGGUAACUCAAUUUUCCUUUUUCUUUGAGCAAUGAUCCUAUUCAUCCACAUUAAUUAUUAGAUCGUUCCUAUUAUAUGAUGCUAUUAAUAGUAAUGCUUCAUAAUGAUACCUUCAAAAUGUUUGAGUGAUGCACAGGGAUACAAUGAUCUUUGGGACUUGGCAUUCAAAUAUCCUUCAAUUCGAAAGGUUAUGGCAAUCAUGGAGAAGUUCAUCGGGAUGCCAGAAAUCGAGAAAAAUGGUGGGGUUUUGGCAAUUGAUUUGGAAGGAAAACCGAUUGCUCACUAUUAUGAUCCUAAAUUGUCAUUAGUGUCAAGUGGGAUCAAGAUUGACAAGUAUUUAUAUUGUGGUUUUAUUGUUAAACCCUACAUGAUUCGCCUUGAUCUUGAUCAACAUGCUGCUCGCACCACCUUGUAAACUUGUGGGAUGUAUUAGUUUUUGGAACAGUGUAGAAUGGAUCUUCAAUGCAUAUAUGUGCCUAAAAACUCCAAAUUACAUGAAGGUGAGAUGUAGUUCAUAGAAGAUACCGUCUUAUGUGUUGGUCAUAAUGGGGAAAGAUCGUGGAAUGACCCUACUUUGCCCUCAUAAUCUUGAAGAUAAAUAUGUUGUUGAAUAGAAUCGACUGUACGUGAUUAAUGUCAUGAGCUUGAUCGAAGUAAUAUUUGUUCUAUAAGUUUAAGCAAUGGCAUAGUGUCAAAGGAAUUCAAUCAAAACUUAACUCUUAUAAUAGAUGGUGUAGUCAAAUUGAUCUCUAAUCAUUUCUAAAAGAGAAGCACGUUUAUUUCCAAAACUUCACUGCUAUUUAAUAAUUACACAAUAUAUUUUUGCUACAACUUCAAUAAUGACAUUUAAAAGCAGCAGACUUCAGACUUAGACUUAGUUUGGGAACUGUUUUCAAGAACAAUUUUCUAUUUUAUAAAACAAAAAAAUUGGAAAACACGUUUGACAACCAAAAGUUAUUUUCUAUUUUUUGUUAUAAGUUUUUAUAGAAUAUUUUUUUAGUCGUUUUCACUUAUUUUUUGAAAACUAUUUUAAAAAAUAAUUAUACAAAUAUAUUUAAUGAUUAAAAAUAAAGUUGUAAACAUAAAAAUUAUUUUUAAAAUAUCUUUAAAAAUAUUAAAAACAAUAUAUUUCUACUACAACUUCAAUAGUGACAUUUAAAUGCAACAGGCUUGAGACUUAGGUCUUGUUUGGAAACUAUUUUUAAAAACAAUUUUUUGUUUUUCAGAACAAAAAAAUUAGAAAAUAUGUUUGGUAACUAGAAACUGUUUUCUAUUUUCUGUUUUUAGAAAAUAGAAACAUGGUGUUUUCAGAUAACAUCUUUUAGUUGUUUUCAAUUGUUUUUUUUAGAGUUAUUUUAAAAAAUAAUUAUAAAAACAUAUAUAAUGAUUAAAAAUAAAGUUAUAGACAUAAAAAUUAUUUUUAAAAUAUAUUUAAAAAUAUUAAAAACAGAUUAAAAUUAUUUUAGGUUCUUAAAUAGAUAUUUAUUCUACAAAACAUCAUAGGAAAGUUUUUAAAAACCAUUCUUAAAAACUAUUUUUCAUAACUGUUUUUAAAAAUAGUUAUCAAACAAGCUCUUAACUUUUUUGUUUUUCUAAAAAGGGUUCAUGACCAACAAGAAAAGGCAAAGAUGUCAAACACCACUCCACCCUCUCAAAAUAUGUUCCUUUCGUUUUUUCUUUUGCCUUUUUUGUCUCCCUCUUCGUGAUUAAAUUUCUAACGUAUUUAAAUGAGAAUCUUAUAUGAUACCCAAGACCUUUGGCAUAUUGUUGGAUACAGUAGAGAAUGGUCAUUAAGAACUAGAGAAUGAGGAAAACUCUCUUGCGAACAAAGUUACUACACCAAAAGAAAAUCCAAAUAGAAAUUAAGGUUACCUUCUGUUUCCAAAAAGUAUUAAGGGAAGAAAAAAAAAAUUAUUAAAACUAUAUUUAGUUCUCAAAAAAUUUGAAAGAAAAUAUAAGGAAAAGAAAAUAAAAAGAAAAAGUGGAAGGAAAUAAAAAGUAGAUUUAAAGUCAAUAAAUUAUUUUUAUAUGCUUCUUCAAUCUUAUAUUACUUAUUUUCCAACAUUAUAUAAAGAAUAAAUAAUUUUAAAAUAUAUCAAUUCCUAAUUAAUUUUAAUUAUAUUUAUUUUUCUUCCAUAUUUUCUAUGGUGAAACCAAAUGUGAGAAAACCAUUUUUUAAAAUACUUUCCAAAAACCAAACAUAACUUAAAGAAAAUGGUUUUUUCAUGUUUGAUUUCAUCCUAAAAAUAUAAAAGAAAAUCAAAUACCAGUAAAUUCGUCAAAAUUUUAUGUAGUUUUAAAUUAUUUAAUCUUUAUGCUAAUAAAAUGAAAUAAGUGAAAUAAGUUUGAAGAAGCAUAUAAAAAUAAUUUAUUAAAUUUAAAUUUAAAUUUUAUUUUCUUCAUUUUUUGUUUCUUUAUAAUUUUUAUUUCUAUUUUCUUUUCCUCACAUUUUCUCUCAAAUUUUAUAGGAACCCAACAUAGCCUAAGGUAUUGUUUAAUUUCAAUGCCUUGAGAGAACUUCUUGAAGAGUUUCCUUAUUUGUGUUGUUGCCACCAAUAUUUUAAAAAUCAACCUGAUCAUUAAACCAAAAAAGUCAUCAGUUUACGAUUCAAUGGUUAAACCAAUAGUUGAACUGCGGUCAAACUAGUGAUAUUAUAAAUAUAUAAUUUACAUAUUAUUAAAAUUAAAAAUAAUUAUAAAAUUAAAAAUAUAUAAAUAAAUUAAAAAUCAAUAAUAUUUAUUUUUUUAUCUCUAGUAUUAUCAAAUUAAAUCUUGCAUAAUAUGACUGUACUAAUACUUUUUAAAUUUUAUUAAAUGAAAUAUAUAAAAUAUUUAAAUAUGAAUAUAUUGAAAAUGAAAGAAAAUCCAAUUAUUUAAUUUUAACUAUUUUUAUAAUUUAAAAAAAAUAUUAUAUUAUAUUUAUUUAAUAUUAUAAUUUUUUUUUAAAUAAUUUUUUUUUUUUUUGCAUUUGCCAUACUAAGUAUGAAAAAAAUGUGUAGCGGGGUGGUACCCAUGCCACUGAGUGCCAAUAUGGGUUAAGAUUUUGAAUUGGGCCUCAGUAUGAGGUAGGCUUUGGAAUUGGGCCUUGCUUUGAAUGAAAAAAAAUAAAGGAGCAUUAGACUGUGUUCGGUUCUUGAAGAACUUCCUGGUCACUUGGUUUACCGGUUGGACGAACCCGGUUGGUUCGACUUUGAAAACAGUGGUUACCGCGAAAGAGAUGAUGAAGCAAGUCAGAGAAAUCAAUUUGGAUUUUAGAGGCAUAGAUCAUGUGGGUAGCAAACGAAUUUUUUAGAAAUAGUAGUUGAUCAGCUGCCAUAUAUAGGCAUAAGGGAUCCGUGCACAAUUUUAUCAAUAAUUUGCCCGACAUGCCCGACAACAUCUUAUAUAUAUAUAUAUAUAUAUGAUGGAGAAAGACAUUAUUGGAUUGAAUUGUCCAGGGCAAUUCAAUUCUCUCGUUUUUCUUUGAGCAAUAAUUUUAUAUUCUUUGUUGAAUCUAAUAUACAAUAAUUAAAUACUUCAUCUACAUCAAUCAUUAAGUUGUUCUUACUAUAUAAUGUUGUUAAUACUAAUGCUUAAGUAUAAUACUUUCAAAAUGAUUGGUUGACUUGGCAGGAAACCAAUGGUUUUGGGAAUUGGCACUCGAAUAUCCUUCAAUUCAAAAGGUUAUAGCAAUCUUGGAGAGACACAUUGGGAGGCCACAAAUCGAGAAAAAUGGUGGGGUUUUGAUUGUUAAUUUGGAAGGAAAACCAAUUGCCCACUAUUAUGAUCCUAAAUUUUCAUGAUAUCAAGUGGGAUUAAGAUUGGAAAGUAUUUAUAUUAUGGUUUUGUUAUCAUACUCUAUAUUACCCGUCUUGAUCUUGAUUAACAUUUAUAGAUCUCCCAUCUUAUCCCAUAACAUAUAUUUUCUCAUUUUUAUUUUUCUUCUCAUCCUAUUCUCACUUUUAGUGCCUGUUUAGGAUCAUUUUUUUUUUGUUGUUCAUUUUCUCUCUUAUUGGUCUACCUUUGCUCGACUCUAUUGAUUUUUGAGCCACANNNNNNNNNNNNNNNNNNNNNNNNNNNNNNNNNNNNNNNNNNNNNNNNNNNNNNNNNNNNNNNNNNNNNNNNNNNNNNNNNNNNNNNNNNNNNNNNNNNNUCUUUUCUUUAGGUCAGCUAUUAAGAGAGAAUAGGUAAGGGUGAGCUGCAAGGUUAGGUUUUUUUUUAAAGAAAUGAUAUUCUUUGCAAGGGUAGUUAGGAGAGAGAGAUGAUGAACACAUUUUAGAAUCUGUAGGAGACGCGUUUCAGACGGGGGAGACUCUUUCUAUUGCUUUGUGGUUGUUAGAGAGAAAAGAAAAAAUAAAAGUCUUAUAGAGGAAGAAAAAAGGAACAAGGGGAAAGAAAGAAACAGAGGAGAACUAGCUGGUUCUCUAGGUUUGUGAAGAAAGCAAGGAAGACUAGAGGUCCAACAAAUCUUGUUGGAGGGGAACACUUUUAGCUAGAUGCUAAGGUACACUCCUAUCUCUAUCUUGUUUAUUUAUUUAUUCUUUAUUAUCUGUAAACCCUCAAUUUUGUCCCUUUAAGUUCAUUUUCAGUGCUUCAUAGUACUUCCUUGGUGGUCCAUAACUACUCAUACAACUUACCUUUUUUAAGCCACCUCAAAGAUUUUGGUUGAGGGAUUUUCUGAACCCUUUUUUGUGACCCUUGACAACCCUAUUUUAGAUUAGGCUUUUCCUUCUUUUUUUAGAAGAGCACACUUAGACAUGUUUAGGUCACCUACACGAUAUCCUGAUCACUUUAGGUUACGUAGGCACCACCCUAGCCCUCUUAGACACACUUGGCCUAUUAAACGUUUUUUACAUGACUCACAUAGUCGCAUGACUUGCAUGGUCCGCAUAGGAUUAACUAUUUUAUUUCAUUUUAUUUAAUUAUUUUGUUUUACUUUAUUCAUUCAUUUUAUUUUACUUUAUUCUUUUAUAUAUUGCAACAUUGCUAACUCUUUUUCGGUUUUAUUCUUUUUAUUUUCGUUUUUUUAUUGUUUGACAAGAGAAUGAGAGUUGUUGUUCAACUCUCACAAAGGCAUGUACAUUCAAAGAAGGUAAGAAAAAUAUUUUUGGAGGAAAACGAGGAUUAACAUGGCUGCAUACAUAUGGAAAGAGAAUAUCCUACAUAGAAAGAGAGAAACAUUCUGAUUUUCGGAAAGGAAGGGAAAUAAAAGAAAGGAAAGUAGAUUUAAAAAGGAAGAAAAGAACAAAAACGAAAGGGGGAUUUUCCUUUUUGUUUUGGAACAGAUUUGUUGAAAAAAAUAGGCUUUCCCACAAGUGUAAAUCAAUGGAAGCAAUAUAAAUAGAAUAACAGAAAAUAAAUGAGCACACAAGAUUUACGUGGUUCCCUCAAAUAACUUGAGGUACGUCCACGACGACCGGUAGGUCAGUUUCUUCCACUAUCACCAAAAGAGUUUACAAAGUGGCCAAAAGGCAUAAGCCUUACAAACAUACCAAGGUGUAAAUCACAAGAGGAAAAUACCUCACAAAAGUAAACCAAAUCUCCAAGAACAAACCGCAAGAAACCCCAAAUAUCAAGUGAAGAAACGUUACCCACUUGAAGUACAAACUUGCCGAUUGUGUAGCACCAAAAAUGGAGAAGAAGAAGGCUGAUUUUUGUUUUGAACCAAAAAGGUAUCCCAAGAGUCUUCUUGCCGACCAAGAUGAUGAACCAAAGGAAAAGACAAAAGACUUGUAGUUUUUUUCUUUCCUUGAAGACUUCAAACCAAUCUUGAAUAUGCCAAGAGUCAUGUGCCAACCAAGGUGUUGGCCAAAAUAGCAAAACCAUAUUUAGUAAAUUUAAGAGUCCCACAAAGGAGGGAAACCCAACAAGAUUUGGGUCUUUGGGGGCUGAUAUACAUAUGUGCAAAAGGAUGUUGAAGUGAAUUUUUUUUUUUUCGGGAGAUAGUCUUGAGGAAAAGCACAGAGAAGCGGGAAAUGAGCAAGAGUAGCCAAGUUCAUCCAGGUAUGUUUCUUGUUACUCUUGAAAUUCUUACCCAUAUUCGAUUUCUCCGUAUAUUUGUUUUUAGAAUAUUUAAUAUAUUGUUCGUUGGUGUGGACGUUAAGGGCCACAAGUUGUUCUGCUGAGCUUGGUUGUUUACUUCUUUAUUCAAUUUUUAUUUUGAUUAUUUUACGUGUCAUGAAUGUCUUCGGAAAUAUACAACUCCAUGCUUGAAUGUGAUCCUGCUCUUUUUUUUGUUUGAAUCUUAUCUUGUAUUGUUCCCUCUGUUAUGUUCUUAGCCCAUGGAUUAAUACUUGAAGUGGAGACUAUUUUUGUUUACUUAUCAACAUCUUCUGUUCUUUCCUCCUCUGAGUUUUACUUCGUUUUUAUUUCAUUUUAUUUCUCUUCCAUCCAUUUUCCUGUAUGCUGCCCAAAUCCUUCUCAUUACCUUUGGGUGUACAUUGAGGAAUGACGGAAGUGUUAAUACGAGAUGGAGUAUGCAACAAUCUCACUCAAAUAUUGGAUAGUUGAUUCCGAGGUUCUUCUAGUGAACUACAGAAAUCUGGAAUACGCAUCAUUGAAAUUCGGAUCUAUCCCACACUACCAACCUCGGGAAACAGGGGAGAAAUUCUGGGAGUUUGAUUUUCGAUUCUGUUAGAAAAAUGGAGUUCACGCUACAACUGAUGAUUCCCAUGGAAACAACCUUGUUGCCAUUCUCUGUUGAUCUUAUCAUCAUAUGGAGAGGGAUCACCGACCUUGAGGAGAGAUUUGGGUUUCUCUGGAAUUGGAAAACUGAAGAAGUUCUGGAUUCAUCUUAUUAGAAGAUUAUUACCACGCGCGGUUCCUGGAGGGGUGAUCCAAAGAGAGGAUUGGUUAGAGGGAACUGUGGAUAACCGGAAAGUAGAAGAAACUGAAGGGAUCAUAGCUGAAUGGAGGAUGGAAACUCGCACUUUCCCUUUGAAGCCAUUGAAGGCGAGGGAAAAGCCUUUGAAUAUUCACAUCUCUGUCAUCUGAUCAAUGAUUCUCUUCCUCUUUACAUCGAAUCAGAGCUAAUUUCAGUGACCAAACAAAAAAUCUUUUGGUUGCUCUUUCCCAGGAUUCAAGAAAAAUUCAAUUCUGGAUAUAUGAGCUUGAUUCCGAUUCCCGUGACGACAUAGCGGCCUAACCUACUUAUAUUGAGAAAUCAGAAAAUUAUGAAGAGCAUUGUUGUUUGACUAGAAUCAUAGCCAACUUGCUGAAAGUCAAUAUGUUCAAUAUUUGGCGAGCAAGGUUCUUGUGGUCAUUUAUGAGUUUGUGGUGGUUUCUGGAAGUAAUUGGGAGGGAUUUGUGCAUUUUUUGCGUGUUUGCUUUGAUGUAGCAAUUGGAAACUUUCUUUCAUCGUCUUUAACACUCCAAACUGAUGGGGACGAAAUUUUUACUGAGAAGUCAAGUUUUGUUGUUUUUUGUAAAAUCCAGACUGAAAAAUGCAAAUUGGUUUGCAGUGGCUGGUAUUAUUCGAGUUUUGAGUAAUAUAUUGAAAUACUUGAAGCAAGAAUAUGAUGAUCAACUUGGGAAAAUACUUGGAUUCUAUCAAUUCUUGUUUGUCAAAUGUGCCUUGGGAUUCAUUGAAUGAUGUUUGUGUUGGUCAGAAUGGUGACACUUAGAGACGCUCAAACACUUUUAGUCUGAGGAAUGUUCAGCUACUAGAGUCAAAGGUUGUAUUUCUAAGAAAUCUUGUUCAGUUCUUCUGUUUAUUGGUUGAGCAAAAUGGUUCUUUGGGAAUCCCAAGUGUUUCUCUAGGUAAGUAUCCUGUUCUUUAUAACAUCAGCAACCUUGUUCCUAAGUUUCUAUAUUGGUGCCUUGGCAAGCAAUGGAAUUGUAACAGCUUGUGCAUCUCUGUACUUUAAACACAAGUUGUUGAUGCUAAUGUUUAGGCUCAGUUUCUAUAUCCGUCUACAAUAUUCAAUUCUUGCUUCUUUGCUGCAAGUUCUCCAUGAACACUUUCAAGAUCUUUUGCUCCAACCAAUACGUCAAGUCAAGCCUGAUGAGAGUGGUUGUCUUGAAGGCUCUCCAUUUUUUAUUCAGUAUUCUUGAUGGAAAAGUAUAUAACAUGUCUUUAUACCAUUUACAGAGACAGACUGUUUUCCUUUUCCUAAGGUGUUCCUUCAGUUUGAUCAGUCUGAGGGAAGAAAUAAGAGAGCAAUGUGCAUAUGCAGCUACCAAUUCAUGCGUGACAUUUGACCUAAAUUCAAAUUUGGAAUGUUGUAGUCAAAAGAAAGGUCUAUCAGAGCUUUAUGAGCGGCUUCAAGGACAUAUUCCUAAGUGUUUAGUUGUGAACCUUAAAAUGUAUUAGACAGUUAUUUCUUAGAUAUGCUGAAGCUCUGUUUUCUUUGCUCCAACUUCUUUGUCAGUAUCAUGUGACACGCUUGGUUCAGGGUUUUGAUGUUAAUCUACGACAAUAAUUAGUUCAAUUAACACUCCACCAAUCUGUUUGUUCCGAGGAAGGUGAUCGGCUUGCUACUAGGUUAAUAUCUUCCCUAAUGGAGUAUUACACUGGUCCUAAUGAUAAGGUAACAGUUGAUGAUAUUAGCGCACGAUUGCGAGAAGGUCGGCUAGGCUAUUACAAGGGGACUGAUCACAAACUUUACUUAGCUGUGGAGUUUCUUGAGAGAGCUACUGUAACUUCUGACACCGAAGAGAAGGAAAACCUUGCUAGAGAGGCCUUCAAUCUCUUGAAUAAAGUUCCAGAACCUGCAGAUUUGUGAGCAGUUUGCAAAAGGUUUGAAGACUGGAGAUUUCAUGAAGUUGUGGUUCGUUUACCACUACAAAAAGGCACAAGCCCCUUGUCCCUGAAGGUGAUGCUUCCAAUGAGCGACUUGAUGCAGAAAUUUGAGAACAUGCACUUGCUUAGCUUGAACAAUGUUAUGAGAUUAUCACCAAUGUUUUGUGUUCUCUAAAAAAGGCGAGGCUUUUCUAGAAGGAACUCGGAUCUCCCGUGAGUCCCGCUGCCUGAUCCACCCUUGAUUAGGCUUCUCGAGACAUAUACAUACGCCAAACUGUCCAACUUAGUGUUAAAUCAUCUGACACAGUCUUUCAGAUACUGUUUCAGUACAGAUCCAAAAUAUGUUAGGCCCCUUGCAAUUCUUGCCCUUGAUGAUCUCUUCCAGCAUGAAGGACUUGCUAGACCUAGUGAUUCUGUAUCAGCAUAUCACGACAGCAAACACUUGGCAUCUGAUGUUCUGCUUCUUCUCUUAUCAAGGUUGCCUGCAUCUUUCGUCCCAAUGGUUCUCUCUUAUGAACUUGUCCAGUGUUUAACGGACAUGCUUCCUACCAAAGACAUUUGGCUGCAUAAAGUUGCACAAUAUUUUCUUAAAGACCUAUCAGAUUGGGUCAGAUAUGAUGAUGUUAGAAAAGUAUAUGUCAUCAUGGCUCUACAGAAGCAUAACAGUGGGCGAUUUGAUUGCAUUACAUGGAUAAAAACUGUUAAAGAUUUGAUGGCAGAGUUCAAAACAGAAUCUGGAUGCAUGCCAUUUAAUCAGAACUUAAUUAGCAUGUUUGUGGAUGAGGCUCAUGCUUCGGAGAAACCUUCUGAUCAGAGUUAGACCAUAAAUGACAAUCCUUUAACAACAUUUUCCAUAUUUUGAGAAGAUGUUUCCAUUGUAAUCAGAUUGGUGGGGGAUCUUAAAAGAUUAGAUGAAUUCCCAGGAGUGAAGGACACCAAAUUUGGAAUCCGAAUGCUAAAGUUAUCAUGCUUUGUAAACAGUUACAGAUUGUUCAUCAUGUAAUAAUGACUGGUGCGCCAAUUCAGAACAAGCUGGCUGAGCUGUGGUCUUUGUUCGAUUUUGUCUUCCUUGGGAAGUUGGGAGUGUUGCCUGUGUUUGAAGCAGAAGUUGCAGUUCCCAUAUCUGUUGCUGGCUAUGCCAAUGCCUCUCCAUUACAAGUAUCCACUGCUUAUAGGUGUGCAGUAGUCCUACGUGACUUGAUUAUGUCAUAUCUCCUUCGAUGUACGACAGUUGAUGUGAAUGCUCAGCUUCCAAACAAUACUGAACAUGUCCUCUUUUGCAGCCUUACCGCAGAGCAGUAUUCUAUAUAUCGAGCACUUCUCUCGAGUCUGGAGGUGGAAUAGAUCUUUGAUGGUAGUAGAAGUUCUCUUUAUGACAUUAAUGUGAUAUAUAAAAUAUGCAAUCACUUUGAUCUACUUGAGCAAGAGUGCAUGCUUACCAGAAUCCAGAUUAUGGGAAUCCUGAACACAGUAGAAAAAAAAAAACGAAAAUUGUCGCUCAUGUGCUUAAGGGGUGGAAAGAACAGGGUCACCGCGUUGUUCGUUUUACACAAACUCAACAAAUACUUGAUAUUCUUGAGAAUUGCCUGAUCGCUAGCUGCUGAUCGUCUAAGAAGCCUUAAGAAAACAAAAGCUCAACUUGAAAUAGAGCUUUCAAAUUUGCAAAAAGAAAAGCCUUCCAAGAUUGUUGAGCAUGACUAGGUGAUACCAAAUUUGGUUAAGGAGGAGGCAAGACCUAAGAAAAUGUUAAAUGAAAUUCUGAAAUUGGGCAAAGAAUUAAAGAAGCGAAAGAAAACAAUUCCAUUUGAUGAUGAUGUUGAUUUUGAUACAGUCCUGGAUACAACUUCUGCAGGAUUUGUCAAAACAAAAAGAGACAAGUUGGUUAGAAAUGGGAUUUUAACUCAUUUCCAUAAGCUCAAAGGCUUUGAACGUCAUCUUCAACAACCAGGUCCAUCAAGUAGAGACAAUUUACCUGAGGAUAAAGAGAGUAGCAUUCGCAUCAGAACUGAACCUAUUGUGAGGCAGAUCUUAGGAUUCUCUUGGCCAUCAGCUGAUGAACUUUCUAAUUGAUACAAGUGCUGAAGUUUCUAUUGGUCAGAUCAUUGACCUCAAAAGAACAGCAAAAAUGCUCUUGAAUUCAGUCAAAAACAUAUUGAAAUCGUUGUAUCGCUGGAGGAUUAUGCUGCCAUGAAUCCAACCAAGCGUUUCACCUUUGUCUCCCAUAGUGCUAGAAGGUACUCUGCCAAAAAGGUUCUGGAACCCUCAAAUAUUUAAAUUGGAGGAUUCUAAUGCUUUACUAGCACUCACCCUAUGACGAAUACUCAGUUUAUGAUGAAAAAGUGGAGUUUCUGGCAUCCACCUAUGCACCGAAUGCAGAAUCAAUAUUUGCUCCUCUCAUAGGAACAAACAAUUUUCACAACAAACCAAGUGUUCAAGAUGAUGCAGGCUGCAAGAAUUUCUCGAAAGAAUUGCAAAUGGCCAGACUAGAUGAUGAAGCCGUUCUCCAAAAACUGAGGCAAAUGCCAUUGGAAGUGGGAAAAUUGAAACAGAAUUUAUAAUGCUCUUCUUCCCUCAUGUUCAAAGGCUGGUCUGAACAAUACUGGAGUCGCCUACGCAGCCAUGCUAGACACUAGAAGCUUUAUGCUUGCAGACCGCAAUUCCACCACAUUCUUCACAGGUUUCAUCCAUAUUCCAGAAAUUCCAAAAAGGAAAAGAAAAAUCGAUGGUGAUUGGAUGCAUAAAUUAGCAAUCCGGGCUAACCAAUUUUAGUGGCAGCUUGUGUUCGCUCUACAGAAGCAAGGAGAAGGGUUUUCAUGGAGAUCAGUAAUAUACUUAACGACUUUAAUGAUUUAUCUAAUGAUUUUAGGCCACUCGACAAUGAUAUCCAAGCUUUUAUUGAUUUGCUCAAUGAUGAAUUGGCUGCUCGAUCACCUACAGCCGAUCAUGUUGAGUCUUUUAAUACCACUCAAACCUUUGGCGGGUUUGAGGCUGCUACUGAUGAUAUGGAACAAGACCUGCAGUCACCGAAUCUCUGCAAAGAACAGAUGUAUCAUGUACGCAUUCUCAAUUUUUUGAAAUGCAGAUUGAACGCAAAUGGCAGCCUGUCAAACUGUCCUAGAAGUGUGUCGAUGGAUUUGGGUGGGAGAUGGAUUCGCAACUGCUGAUGAGGUUGUCCUUGAUGAUCCCCACCAUUUAGCUCCUAUAUACGUGUCAUACCAGUUGAUUUAGCAGUUUUCAAGGAAUUAUUUUUUGAAACUCGGAAUUCAGGAGCUCUUGAAACCUGAUGACAUGUUAGCAUUUUAGGUGCAACAUCUGGCUGAAGUUCAGUUUCAUGAACAUAAAUCUAAGAUCUACUUACCUGAUGUGUCAGGAAGACCACUUCUUGUCAAUAAGUUAGUUUAUGAUGAUGCUCCCUAGCUGUUUGGUUCCUAAAGGUGAAUAUCUGCCUGCAAAAGAGGUGAAGCAGCCCCUAAUGCUGCUGAUUCUGAUACAGCAAGAAACUUCUCAUGAAGUCACUCUUAUGACACUACUGAUGAGGAACUCACGUCAAUUGUAAUGGAAAACUAUCAACAUUCAGAGCCUCAACACGGUCUUGAAAGCUUUUCUACCAGAGAAACAAUUUCUCUUAACUUCUUAGAAAAGGCUACGUCAGGCUAUGAAUUCCAUCGACCAGAGAGAUAACCUGGGACCUUACAAAUGUCAAAUUAAGUUACGCUUUGCAAAACGGACUAAGGGUAGAACUUCAUCAGCAUAACCAGAUUUCGUGAGAGAUGAAGUAGAUAUUGGUCCGAGAGGGUAUGAACAAAGCAGUAGAAAUGAAGUCACUAUUAUUUCCAGGCAGAGCAUCAGGAGAGGAAAGAAUAAUAUGAAAGGUUCCUAUCCAACGGGCAUUCUCAAGGUUCCCAGCUUUCUCAUGGGCUAUCACAUCUUAACAAUACGUGUACUUCCAGCCAAAAUUAUUCAGAGUGUUACUACAUUUUCACAGAGACAGAUGCAUGACGUGGAAUGUCUCGCAACAAAGCUCACGAGAGGGUUGAAAUCCACGCACAGGACACAAAAUCAAAACAACAACUCCAUAGCUGCUUGGGCAGCAAACAGAACAAAACGCGAGUCACCUUCGAGCUAUAUAUCCAUGACACAAUUACCCUGCCCAAAUAAUGCAAAGAUAGCUAUCGAAAUUGUGAAUCUCCCUAUCUAUCCAGUCUUUGAUGUGAUGCAGGCAAUGGGGUCCAUUAAGAGUCAAUUUGCGUUGAUGAUUAUGAGAAAGAAGCUUUCCUUUGUGACAUGCCAUGGACAUUAUUAGCGAACGCUGCACUUGUGUCUACAUUCUGGAGGAUUUUUAGAAGCACUCUUAUCCAAGGUGAUUCAAUUGUGUCGACUCUCAGUCAGGCUCAAGAAGUUGUGAAUUAAAAAGUUUAGGAUUCGGUCCAGAUUUCUUUUUUGAAGGGUAGUUUGUCGUUGUAGUUGAAAUGAAAAACAUCAAGAGCGCAAAAAGAGAGUUCAAAAUUGUUCAAAUCAGGGUUUAAGCGGACUGAAUUGACAUUUGGCUUGAAUAUUAAAGAAAGAUAAAUGAAUCUCCAGAUUUGUGGCUGAGAUGGCUAAAAGACUUGAAGCAAUGGAAGGCAAAGUAACAGAGUUUCGAAUUAACGCAUGCCUCAGGUUCCAUGAAAAGGGGUGUAGGUUCCCUCAGCUAGACCUAGAAGCAUUAUUCCAGGUUCGGCAGAGUCUCAAACAAGGAACUAGACGGGCAACUUAUAUGAUCAGAAAGCAUAGACAUAAAAGGAAAAUUCAGAGAAAAUGAGUUAUAGAACAGGAAACUUAAUCUGAAAUUGAGCAUUACGUCUUCACCAGAAGCUUCUGUUGAUAAUUCAGGUUGUGAUCCUGAGAAACUAGAGUUGUAUUGAAGCCCUUUUUUUAGAUGAGGUGGCACCCUAAAAUCCAGUAAACAUGGGCUCUGAAGCGAAUACAUUCAGUUUCUUUCCAGACAACCAGUGGUCUACAGAAUCCUCCUUAUGCAAUCUGUUUCAACCAUUUAGUCUCAAGUGCACCUCCAGACCUCACUCAUAUAGUGGUCACCUUGCCACACAUCAUACUCCUAAUGUUUCUUCUUAUUCUUUUUUGUUAUCUUACACAUUUUAAAUCUGGAUUUCAAAAUCUUUUUCCGUAAAAAAUAACUCUAGUUUUAUUUAAAAUUCCCGAGAAGUUUCUGGGCAUAAAAUCCAAAUUUUAACAUACUAUUUGCUGCCAUUUUCCUUUCCAGCAUGCAUUUUCGUCAUCUUCAACUAUUUUCAUGAUUUUCUCGAUUUUCGACAAGCAUGAACAAACUUCAUGAUUCCAAACAAUGGAAUUCAUAGAAUCAACUCAUGCAAAAUCAAUCAGGACCUUGGUGGGUGGUCCGACAUUCUUGAUAUCUUCUCUGAUAUUGAUUCAAAUGAGGGGAUUGUUCGAUACUUGGCUGAUUUCAAUUGUUCCCUAUGAUAUAUAUGAAAAUUGUUUAUACUUGUUAUUAAGCUAACCUUGUUUUCCAUAGACGCAUUUAGCUUGCUACCCAGGUACGCUCUCUCUCUCUCACACACACACUCAUUUUCUCAAAUUCUAUGAACAUACAUGCUAUUGAAGAUCACUUCCAUGUUUGAUGUAAUCCUUGGGUGUUUAGGUGUAUACUUGAUUUGCUUGGAUAAAGCACAUGUUGUGUGAUAUAUUUCUAUACUAACCUUUGAUGUUUUGUGAUAGCGCUUAAGAAGUGGUUCAGGUACGUACCCUAACUCUCCUUUAUUGUGAUUGAUCUCCUUAUUUAGCAUGCUAUUUUCUGAAAUCACCUAGCUUACUUAGGUAUCUAUAAUUAACCAACUAAUUGUCACACUUCCCUUAACUUAGUUAGUAGAGACCUUUAUAGGACUUAGAAGGGUGUUACCUUUCAAAGGUACCUUCCCAAUAGGUAACUUGAUCCUUGGACUUAGACUCGGGUUUUUUUUAAAGACAUGCUUUUUCCAAAACUAUGGAGUCAUUUUUUUUAGGGUUUUAUUUCUUGUUUUAUUUUCCCUUUAAAAUAAAAAUAAAAUAAUUGGUGACUCCGACUUUUUCAAAAAUUAAUUUUUCAUAAAUAAAAAACGAGUCUCGCUGAUCGAGUGAGAGCGCACGUGAAAAAUGCGGGUCCACAAAUUGGCGACUCCACUGGGGAUCUUGAGGAUCAAGCUUAAACACUAUUUGAGGAAAAUGUGGCGUUUAAUUGGUCGAUUAGAGGGUACCUCAUCAUUUUUAGGCAAGGCGAUUUGGUUAUCUUACUUGAUUGCUUUGCUAUCUUAACAUGUUGGCAUUGAUCCCUCUAUAGUUCAACACCACUUACCUAUCCUACCACAUGCCAGACCGGUUAAGCAGAAAUUAAGACGGUUACAUCCACGUUGGAGUCUGCAGGUGAAAGAGGAGAUUCAGAAACAACUCUGUGUUGGAUUCAUAUCAGUGGUUGAGUAUCCAAAGUGGUUGGCUAAUGUCGUCCCAGUUCCCAAAAAGGAUGGCAAAGUUAGAGUUUGUGUAGACUUUAGAGAUCUUAAUAAAGCUAGCCCUAAAGAUGACUUCCCUUUCCCACAUAUCGAUUUGUUAGUUGAUGGCACUAUAGGCCAUUCGAUGUUGUCUUUCAUGGAUGGGUUUUCAGGGUAUAAUCAGAUUUUGAUGGCUCCAGAGGAUAUGGAGAAGACAACCUUUAUUACUGAGUGGGGUACCUACUGUUACAAGGUUAUGCCAUUUGGGUUGAAGAACGCAGGAGCCACUUAUCAGAGGGCCGCUACUACUUUGUUUCAUGACAUGAUGCAUAGGGACGUUGAAGUUUAUGUGGAUGAUAUGAUUAUGAAAUCCCAAGGCAGAGCAGAUCACCUAGAGGCUCUAGAGAGAUUCUUUGAGAGGAUCCGAAAGUUUAGAUUGAGGCUGAAUCCCAAGAAGUGCACCUUUGGAGUGACUUCUGGGAAGUUAUUGGGACAUAUGGUCAGUAAGCGAGGCAUAGAGGUCGACCCAGAUAAAAUCAAAGUCAUACUUGACAUGCCUGCGUCGAGGACUAAGAAAGAGAUUAGAGGUUUUCUGGGUAGAUUACAGUACAUCAGUCGUUUCAUAGCCAGAUUGACAGACAUAUGUGAGCCCAUAUUUCAUCUUUUAAGGAAGAAUUAACCAACAGUUUGGAAUGAUGAUUGUCAGCUUGCAUUUGAGAAGAUCAAGGGGUACUUGCUUUUUCCUCCUGUUUUAGUGCCUCCUACGCCAAGACGCCCACUUCUUUUAUAUUUGUCAGUUUCAGACAUGGUCUUGGGAUGUAUGUUAGCUCAGAUUGACAACUCAAGGGAAGGAGCAGGCUAUUUACUAUCUGAGUAAAAGGAUGCUGGAGUAUGAAGUGAAAUAUGUUAUGAUCAAGGAGGAAAAUGUCGCAAUAUUUCGGCGAUAUAUCGCCGAAAUAUCGUGUAUCGGACCAUCUCGACACGAUAUAUGUUAGAGAUAUAUCGGUUCCACGAUAUUUUAUCAAUUUAUCGUGAUUUUCACUUAUUUCUCGUGAUUUAUUGGCAUUUUAUCAUUUUAUCUUCAAUAUAUCGCGAUAUUUUGGACGGUCAAAUGAGGAUCAAUGCGGUCAAACUUUUAAAAAUGCCUCAGGACCGUCGCGGGGGCUCGAACCCCAGCCAAAAGGUUUGGUUGGCAGCAAGCCAACUGCUGGGGCAAGUUUGCCCCUUGAUAUAUAAUGUGCACCAAAUAUAUAUAAAGUCAAAUUCAUCAUAUAAACAUAAUUUUAAAAAAAUGUUUUAAAGAACAAAUUAAUUAUAAUUAUUUUAUAAUUAAAUAAAUUUUUUUCAUCUAUUUGAAUACCAAAAAUAUAAAAAUUAUUGUGAUAAUUUUCUUCAUAAUGUUUUUAAUAUUAUUAAUAUAUUAAUUAAGUAUUAAAAAUUAUACACAUAUCAUCAUUUAUUUUAUAUCAUUUAAUACAAUUAAAUUAAAUGAAUUAUAAUUUAAAUAUUAAAUAUAUUUUAAAAUUAGACAUAUUAUAAUCAAAUAUCACAAAUAUUAUUAUGAAUAAUAUUUGAUAUAAUUUAAUAAUAAAUAUAUACUUAUGAAAUUUAUAGUUUUUUUUUAUUAACACAUAUACUAUUAUUGUCAAAUAUGAUAAAUCAUAUUAUACAUAUAUCAAAUUAUUUAAUAAAAUAAUUUAAAAAUAUCAUUAUACUUCUAAUUACAUUUUUAUGAAGUUUUUUUUAUAUUUUUAUAAAUUUUAAUCAAUUUUAUGUUUAUCGAUAUUUUUUUCCAAAAUAUCCGCCGAUAUAUCUCCGAUAUAUCCGUAAAAUCGAAGUACCGAUAUAUCCGUGAUUACCGAUAUUUUCAUUCUUGGUUAUAAUUGAGCGUCUAUGCUUAGCACUAGUUUGGGCUACCAGGAGAUUAAGACAUUACAUGACAGAGUACUCAGUGCAUUUGAUAUCCCGCCUAGAUCCAUUGAGAUACUUAUUUGAUAGACCUGCAUUGACUGGUAGACUAAUGAGAUGACUUGUACUUUUGACAGAGUUUGAUAUCCAGUAUGUUUCUCAGAAGUCUAUUAAGGGAAGUAUUGUCGCCGAUCACCUAGCCUCACUACCGACAUCUGAGAAUAGACCAGUUGAUGAUGAUUUUCCAUAUGAGGAGUUUGUUGCUAUGACCAGCUUAUCAGGAUGGUAUAUAUUAUUAGAGAAACACCCAAAUCAGCUCCAAAUAUAAUGAUAAAGCAACACGUGGAUUGGAAUUUUUCCAACCCCUUUCCAUUAACACGACUGAUAAAGUGACAAGAGGAUCCACAUAGUUUGAGCCUAUGCUUGGUUUCAGAAAGUACCAAAAUUUAAAUAAAUAAAUAAAUAUAUAUAUAUAUAUAUAUACUAAAAAUUAUCUUCUUAUCUAUUAUAUAAAAAAAAUUAAUACAAUUAAAAUUAUUUAAAAAUUAGUUUAUUUUUAAAUUAUUUAGUUUUUAUAUUAAAAAUUAAAAUAAAUUUAAAAUAACAUAUAAAAAUAAUUAUUAAUUUUAAAUUUAUUUUUAUUUUAUUCCUCUUUAUUUUUUAUUCGUGUUUUCUCUCAAAUUUUGAGGGCUCCAAACAUAACCUGAUAAAUAACAAAGAUAUUAUCUCGUGGCUAUUAAGACAAGCAAGUUGCCAACCCGCUUCUUUAAUUACCCAAAUUGGUGAGUGGCCCUGUUUUUGCCCCUUCGUCUGUGGAGACUCACCGAGUCACCGAUGGCAGAGUCAAACCUUCCGAUACUAGCACGACUAGGAGGAGCUCAUCAUGGUCCUUUGGUUUUCUCGUCUUGAUUCUUACUCCCGUUGCAGCGGCCAUCUUUCUCUACCAACUCGACUCCUUUGAUCCAGCUUCUCUGCCCACUCACGAGUUUUCACAGGAACCCAUGCCUGUGCCGAAGCUCAACCCUCGUAUGCUGCAAGGUUCUGAGAUGAUUGGGCAGGGGAAUCUGUUGGGCCCAGAGGACAUUGCCUAUGACGCCAACUCACACCUAAUCUACACAGGCUGUGCUGAUGGCUGGGUCAAGCGAGUCACCUUGAACGAGUCGGCUGCCAACUCGGUCGUCCAUAACUGGGCCUUCACCGGUGGAAGACCUCUCGGCGUCG